rnacentral:tRNA from 1 species
GUGGUAAUAGCUCAGUUGGUUAGAGCACCAGCCUGAUAAGUUGGAGGCCCGAGGUUCAAAUCCUUGUUAUCACA